rnacentral:rRNA from 1 species
GACGAACCGUGCGAACGUUGUUCGGAAUCACUGGGCGUAAAGGGUGCGUAGGCGGGUCUUUAAGUCAGGGGUGAAAUCCUGGAGCUCAACUCCAGAACUGCCUUUGAUACUGAAGAUCUUGAGUCCGGGAGAGGUGAGUGGAACUGCGAGUGUAGAGGUGAAAUUCGUAGAUAUUCGCAAGAACACCAGUGGCGAAGGCGGCUCACUGGCCCGGUACUGACGCUGAGGCACGAAAGCGUGGGGAGCAAACAGG